rnacentral:rRNA from 1 species
UACGUAGGGUGCGAGCGUUAAUCGGAAUUACUGGGCGUAAAGCGUGCGCAGGCGGCCCGGUAAGUCCGCUGUAAAAGCAAAGGCUCAACCUUUGAAUGUCAGUGGAUACUGCCGGGCUAGAGUCCGGAAGAGGCGAGUGGAACUCCUGGUUGUAGCGGUGGAAAUGCGCAGAUAUCAGGAAAGAACACCGACGGCGAAGGCAGCUCGCUGGGGACGGUA